rnacentral:rRNA from 1 species
AGAGUUUGAUCCUGGCUCAGGAUGAACGCUUAGCGGCGUGCUUAAUACAUGCAAGUCGAACGGAGACAGUAGCAAUAUUGUCUUAGUGGCGAACGGGUGAGUAACGCGUUGGUGACCUGCCCCGAAGAGGGGGAUAACAGUCCGAAAGGAUUGCUAAUACCCCAUGUGGUCAUAUGGAUUAGAUGCCUAAUGACUAAACGGAUUUAUUCGCUUCGGGAGGGGCCUGCGUCCCAUCAGCUAGUUGGUAAGGUAAUGGCUUACCAAGGCUAUGACGGGUAGGGGACCUGAGAGGGUGGCCCCCCACAAUGGAACUGAAACACGGUCCAUACACCUACGGGUGGCAGCAGUAGGGAAUAUUGGUAAUCUGGGAAACCGGGAACCAGCAACGCCGCGUGCACGAUGAAGGCCUUCGGGUCGUAAAGUGCUUUUUGAAGGGAUGAGGAAGGACAGUACCUUCAGAAUAAGCCUCGGCUAACUACGUGCCAGCAGCCGCGGUAAAACGUAGGAGGCGAGCGUUAUCCGGAUUUACUGGGCGUAAAGCGUGUGUAGGCGGUUUGAUAAGUUGGAUGUGAAAGCUCCCGGCUCAACUGGGAGAGGUCGUUCAAAACUAUCAGACUAGAGAGUGGUAGAGGGAGGUGGAAUUCCGCGUGUAGUGGUGAAAUGCGUAGAUAUGCGGAGGAACACCAGUGGCGAAAGCGGCCUCCUGGCCCAUUUCUGACGCUCAGACACGAAAGCUAAGGUAGCAAACGGGAUUAGAGACCCCGGUAGUCUUAGCUGUAAACGAUGUGAACUUAGUGUCGGUGGGGUUAAAUCCAUCGGUACUGAAGCUAACGCGAUAAGUUCACCGCCUGAGGACUACGGCCGCAAGGUUAAAACUCAAAGGAAUUG